UACGUAGGGGGCGAGCGUUGUCCGGAGUACUGGGCGUAAAGCGCACGCAGGCGGUCUGCUAAGUUUGGAGUGACAGUUGGUGGCUUAACUGCCAAAGUGCUUCGAAAACUGACAGACUUGAGGGCUUCAGAGGGACACGGAAUUCCGGGUGGAGUGGUGAAAUGCGUAGAGAUCCGGAGGAACACCAAAGGCGAAGGCAGUGUCCUGGGGGACGUGACCU
rnacentral:rRNA from 1 species